rnacentral:rRNA from 1 species
UACGGAGGGUGCAAGCGUUAUCCGGAUUCACUGGGUUUAAAGGGUGCGUAGGUGGGAAUGUAAGUCAGUGGUGAAAUCUCCGUGCUUAACAUGGAACUGCCAUUGAUACUAUGUUUCUUGAAUUUUCUGGAGGUCAGCGGAAUAUGUCAUGUAGCGGUGAAAUGCUUAGAUAUGAUAUAGAACACCAAUUGCGAAGGCAGGUUACUGAGCCACAACUGACGCUGAGGCACGAAAGCGUGGGGAUCAAACAGG